ACGCGACGCGCCGCACCUGUUGAACCGCGUGGCGUGCGGUGACGUCGAUAUUCUCUUCUCCCCUUCGUCACCUCGGUUUUUCCCUAUGACCCCCAGUGCACUCACCACAAAAAUAAAACACGUGAAUAAAAUCACAGAACACACAAAGAGAAUAAAAAAUAUAUUAAAAACUCGACACUGCACUUGGAACUGGUAAUUCCUUUUUACCCAUCAAUAUUCCACCAGCACUAGCACGAAACAAACAUACCAAGAGCAAACAUCACAAGUUGAGACAAGAGGAGAAAAAAAAAAAGUAUGCGCAAAACAACAACAAUAGCGCGCAAAAAUAAACCAACCGAGUAAUCACAAGUGCAAUUGCACGGAGUUUACCACUGGGAAAAUGCGAAAAUUUAUGGACGACUAAUAAUUCACUGGCAACGGUGAAAAUUGAUUUUUUAAUGGGUUGUUUAUUUAUAUGUCAGCUGAACGCGGUAUUGGAUACAUGGGUGUUGGGCGUUUUGUGUUAAACUUGUGUAUGGAAAACAGAAUUGAACGAGACAUUGCCGGAGAGUAACUGAGAGGAAAUAGUCGUGUGUGAAGAUUGUGGGAGAGAGAGGGAGAGAAAAAAAAAAUUUAUUCCCCGGCGGGCAGGCAACCGUCGGCCCCCACGUUGUUUGUCUCGCGAGUGGCCUGUUUACAUGUUGACUCUCUGUUUACGCGUUUCGUCCGCGGAUUUCUCUUCACCUCCCUGCCCACCUCGUCCACCCCACUUGCCCACAUUCGAUAGACUGUUUAACCAAGCCGAGUCGUGUCCUCACCUCACCCAACACAAUCCUCUCACACGCAUUCUCCUCACACGCCUCACUACCGCCACUCAUCACGUUUUUUCCACACUUUUCUCACUAAUAACGCGACACUUUGUUACCAGUGAAGCAGGAAAAGUGUUGGCUGAGUCGGAGACUAGAGACUACCGAGACAUGAUGGGGAAGGGCCAGGGUGGCACAACCCCUAGUCACGUCGGACCCGAAACAAGGCCCCACAGGGUUAAUGAACAGAGUCAGACGACAAUUAUCGAUGUGACGACACUUUUUCGCCAGUUUAACCUGGGCAAAUUUUUUUUUUUAUAAUUAUAAUUCAUUGAUGUAUCAAGAUUUUGUUUGUUGCAGAAUUGGAUUAUCGGACAAAUAGUGACAACAUGAAAGACACAAUCGUACAUGAAGACGGUUUACGUAGAGAACAGACACGCGAUUGUAUUUUUUCUCUACGAAAUAAUGAUGAAAGGGUAAAAAGAUUGAGGACAAUUUGUGACAAUUGCUGAAUUGAAAAUGGAAAAACGAUAUGGAAGGCAGAGAGGAGAUACUCUAGAGUUAGUGAUGAUUUAUCCAUUUUGCCUGUAACGAACUAUUUUAUGAAAAAAAAUAAAUACCGUAUC